rnacentral:rRNA from 1 species
GGAUCCAGACUUUGAUCCUGGCUCAUGAUGAACGCUGGCGGCGUGCCUAACACAUGCAAGUCGAACGAAGCUUGACGGAUGAUUUCUUCGGAAUGAAACCAGAUAUGACUUAGUGGCGGACGGGUGAGUAACACGUGAGCAACCUGCCUUUCAGAGGGGGAUAACGGCUGGAAACGGUCGCUAAUACCGCAUGAUGUGUUCGGAUGGCAUCAUCUGAACAUCAAAGAUUUAUCGCUGAAAGAUGGGCUCGCGUCUGAUUAGAUAGUUGGUGGGGUAACGGCCUACCAAGUCAACGAUCAGUAGCCGGACUGAGAGGUUGAACGGCCACAUUGGGACUGAGAUACGGCCCAGACUCCUACGGGAGGCAGCAGUGGGGAAUAUUGCACAAUGGGGGAAACCCUGAUGCAGCAACGCCGCGUGAAGGAUGACGGUUUUCGGAUUGUAAACUUCUUUUCUUAGUGACGAAGACAGUGACGGUAGCUAAGGAAUAAGCAUCGGCUAACUACGUGCCAGCAGCCGCGGUAAUACGUAGGAUGCAAGCGUUAUCCGGAUUUACUGGGUGUAAAGGGAGCGCAGGCGGGACUGCAAGUUGGAUGUGAAAUACCGUGGCUUAACCACGGAACUGCAUCCAAAACUGUAGUUCUUGAGUGAAGUAGAGGCAAGCGGAAUUCCGAGUGUAGCGGUGAAAUGCGUAGAUAUUCGGAGGAACACCAGUGGCGAAGGCGGCUUGCUGGGCUUUAACUGACGCUGAGGCUCGAAAGUGUGGGGAGCAAACAGGAUUAGAUACCCUGGUAGUCCACACUGUAAACGAUGAUAGCUAGGUGUGGGGGGUCUGACCCCUUCCGUGCCGGAGUUAACGCAAUAAGCUAUCCACCUGGGGAGUACGACCGCAAGGUUGCAACUCAAAUGAAUUGACGG